CAGUGGGGGAUCUGCGGGACUUCGUGAGAAGCCACCUGGGGAAUCCUGAGCUGCCCUUCUAUUUGUGUGAGUCCUCCUGCUGGACACGUCCCGGCAACGUCCGGAUCUCGGUGACCCCCGACCCGUCCCAGCUGGGGCUUGGAGAGAUUUUCCUCUAGAAAACAACAUCGUGGGGUGGGCUGGGCUGGUCAUGCAGUAGCCCGCCUACCGUGUAAGCCCCGCUGGUGUCUGAGGACGAGUCCGAGGAGAGGGGAAAGGCGAGGGGAGGUUGGCUUUUGCCCCCUCAGCAACCCUGCCCUGCCCCCUCUCCCUGACCUCCCCUCCCAAGGGCGUCUCGGUAGGGAGGGGUCAGACCACUGGGCUUCGCGGGGAGUUGUGUGGGGCUGGGGCUCCUCGUAGGUGGGCCCGCCCUAGGUCACCCACCCCCAAGCCCCUUGCCCGGGUUGUAGUAGUAGCAGAGAGGCGGGCAGAGGGCUACAAGCUGAGGGGGCUCCUUGGAGAUACCCCAGCUAAGGCCGUGGGCCCGGGGCCUGCCCCUCCCCCUCAGGCCUGUCCUCCUGUGGGGGUCCGGGGAUGGGCGGGGGGCGAGGUGGCUCUGGGCCCAGACACUUAUCUUUUCACAGUCAUCACUCCUCCAAAAACCAUCCUGGAUGACCACAGGCUGACCCUCUUUCAGGUACUGGCACCCUGGCGGGGAUGCGGGGGGCCAGGGGUGCAGGUGUGGCCGGGCUGGCUCUGUAGACGUUGGGGGGGGGGCACCAGAGGGAGACGAGCGCCUCUGAAGCUGGUGCCGGGCCUUUCCAGCCUCCCCCGCUUCCUGCCCUGGCGGGGAUGGGCCUACCCGGCUGGCUGCCAGCCUUCCCGAGCCGGGACCGCCUGCAUCCUGCCCCGGGGUCUGGGUGAGAAGGGGCUGGCGGGGGCGGAUGGAGGGUCAGGGGCCUCACCCGCCUGUGGCAGGUCCCCUGGGGUGGCAGCCNNNNNNNNNNNNNNNNNNNNNNNNNNNNNNNNNNNNNNNNNNNNNNNNNNNNNNNNNNNNNNNNNNNCCCGGCUGCCCGGCCUGUUUCCCUGCCUCUGCUGGCAGGGCCGUGAUGCGCCCUCCCCGCUAGCUGGUGUCUGCUUCGGCCGACCCUCCCCACGGCCCCCAGAGCUCCUGAAGGUAAGGUGAGGAGUGUUGAUCCUGUGCCCUGCUGGGCUGCCUUCCAGAGCCGGGAGGAAUGUCCCGUCCCUUUGCCCCUGGGAGCGUAGCCUGGGGCCUCCCCAGCCCUCUGGCCUAAUGGUUUCCUCUUCAAAGUCUUUUCAGAUAUUUUAAUUAGUAACAGAGGCCGGCCCUUGUUAAGUGGCUGGCAGGCCCUGCAGAGGUCUGAGUUGGGCCGAGGGGGUGUGCUUGCUGCCUGGGGCUGCCACCAUUGUCAGGAGGGCGGGGCAGGGGCUGGAAGCUCUCCGAGGAAAGGAGUCGGGGUGAAGUCAGGGCAGGCGGGAGCAGGGAGCUGUGCCCACCCCCCCAGCUCCCCUUUCUCAGCCCCCGGGAGCCCCAGAGGCACUGGGCCUCUUCCUCCAACCCGCCCUCCCACCUUGCCUCCCUCCCUCGCUGGCCAGCCUGUUGAUAAACAUUGAAUUUAGGAGAUGCUUUGGAAUGGAGGGGGACCAACGCCGGUCCUGCCCCCCCCCCCACCCGCGCCCCGAUUAGUCGCCCUGGGGUGCUGUCUGUUCUGUCCAAGCGGCCUGAUUCCUGGUGACACCCUGCCCCCUGCUACCAGCAGCUGUCUCCUUUCAUCUGUCAGCUCAGCCUGGAGCUGCGGGGGCCUCCGCGCGGGGUGGCGUCCCCGCCCGCCCGCCAUCAGAGAGCUGGCAGGGCUUGGGGAAGGAAGCCUUCCUCCCUCGUGUGGGUGAGCGGGCGUGGGCGCGGAAGCCGCCGGCUUUCAUGUCCCUGGCACGGCUGUGCUCCGGCUGCUGGCUGCCUGGGAGGCUGCCGGGAGGCCGGUCCCAAGCUCCAGAGAGUGGCAGCUUGGGGUAGGUGAGAGGGACGGUGGCCCAGCUGCCCCUUUUGGCCACUGGGCCAGGACACUGAGUGCCGGGAGAGGUGGGGCUGAGGACGAGGCCUGGGAGGAUGGGGGGGGGGGGUUGCGGUUGGCAGGCACAGGUGCCCCCAGUGCCCAUUAGAUGGGCUUCCUUUAGUCCUGGUGCUGCCCUGGGCCCCGGCGUCUCUCCCACCACCUCGCUUAGGGCCCGAGUAGCAGCCUUAGCCGGUCCUGAAGACUGCCGUGAGCUGCGUAGACCUCAGCCUGAACAGAGGCAUAGACUCCUUCCUGGCAGUCACAGCGGCCUCCUGUGCUGUCCCUUCACCCUUUGUCUGGUUGGGAUCACAGAGACGCGAGCAAGCGAGUGGGAUGCUUCUGGUGGGUGCUGAGCGGGGAGGCAGGGAGGCUGCGUUCAGGAGGAGUUGCCCCAAGGGCCCGAAGGACUCCCAGCUGGGUGAGAGGGGUCCUUCAGGGCUUUCAGCUCCACGGCCCCGGCUGUCCUGCCUGGUGGGUUCCGGUGGGGUCUUGUGAAACGGGAAUGUGCCGAGAGCGGUCCAGGUGCCUGGGAGGUCAGCCAAGUCAGGGUCCGGUCAGGCUGGGGCUCCUGGGGAAGCUCGAAGCCCUAUUGUCUCUGCCCCCCCCCCCCGCCCCCAGCUUCUGUGCCUCCCAGGCCCUGGGGCAGCCCCCUGUAAGCCCCACAGGCUGUCCCUGUGACCCCAGGUGUCCUGACAGAGUGAUGGGGCCUUCACAUCAGCCCCGUCUUUGGCCUUGGUCUCGGUCUCGGCGUCCCCAGGCUUGGCCUUUGAAACUUCCUCCCGGAGAGCAGAGGGGGCGCUCUCACCUGUGGCUGCCCUUUCCACUGAGGGCUGAGGACCAGGACCCUCUGGCCAGCUUUGGGGCUUGCAGCCAUGGUCCUCGGGUACGGAGACCGGAGCGGUAGACCGUGGGGCCCCUUUGUGGGCGGCCCUGAAUCUGCACCUCAGGUUAGCCCCUGCCUCCAGGGAGCACGUCAGGGCCUAUGUGACCCAUCCCUGUCCUGCACCUGAGCGAGAGCCCCGCACCACUACCCCCCGUGGGAGGAGACUCUGGAGAGGCAGUUCCUGGACGCCCAGGGCAGGGUGUGGGGGCCCCGGUGCGGUGCCCUCCCUGUGGCCAGGGCUCCACACCAGUCACUUCCAGGUGACCGCCCGGUGCUGAGUCAGGGACCUCGAGCCUGAGCUUUGGGGUUCUGGGUGGCAGACACUCAAAGGUAGCUGACCCGGUACCUCCCCGCCCAGGACUUCCAAAGCGCCUUGGCUCCAAGAGCCCCCGCUCGCCAUGCCUGGGCCUGGGCCUGGGCCGGCCGAGGGGCCCCCGCUCAGCGGGUAUGGGGGCUCCCCCUCCCCCUGACGGCAGCCCACCAGCUGCUGCACAGACCCCCGCGCUCUGGGUCCUCUGAGCAACACUGCCUGUUCUCUUCCUCCACACCAGUCCCGUGUAUCUGUUUUCAUCUCCCCUGACCCGUCGGCCUCUUACAGGCUCCGCUGAGGGUGGGGGCUUCUAGGCCUGUUCCCUUGGGUCAUCAGGAAUGCCGAAGGCAUGUGCCGUGAGAACGUCCUGCUGGUGUUGGGGCUGGCUCCCGGAGGGACCCCUGUGGUCUCACAGCCAGCCCGGCUCGUGCUGGGGGUGGGGGGUGGCACAGCGGGACCCAGUAGAGCCGGGCGGGGUGGGGGGCAGUUCCCGGGAGCAGGGCAGCGGACUGCGCUUGCGGUGGGGACCUGGCUGGGGCGUGGCCCUGGUCGGCAGAGCCCUGGGCCCGGUGUGUGCCACUUAGCUUCCCAUGCAGCCCCCAAGAGGCCACCACGAAAGUGGAUGCAGCCCGCCCUGCCCACCCGCUGCGGCCUCUGCCCACGGUGCCCACCUGAUGCCCCGAGCCCCCUUCUGUUCUCCCUGCAGGCAGAUCUCUUCCCUGCUGCCCUCGUGCACUUUGGAGCUGAGGAACCAACAGGUGGGCGGGGAGGAGGUCCGGGAGGGAGAUGUGUGCCCAGUACCCUAUUCCCAGGCCGCGUCCCCUCCCGGAGCAGAGCAGCAGCAGGGGGAGGGGGGCCCUCCAUGGCCUGAGGUGGGCUGGGUGUCCCGCAGGCCUCUUCCUGGAGCCCAGGCUGCUGGAACGCACCGUCUCCCCGUCUGCGGCUGACUUGCUGGUGGCCAGGUGAGUGCCCGCGGUGGGGAGGGGCGAGUCCCUGCUGUAGCGCGUCGGCCCUCCUGCAUCUCGGCCUCCUGCCCCCCAGGUGCAUGCCCAGGGCUGCUGGGGCCCCGCCCCCGAUGCCAGCCCCUGACCCUGCACCCCGUGACUUGGAGCCAACGGCAACGGCUGAGGCGGGGGCGGUGGGGCUCCCCGAAUCCCGCCCCGAGACGGCCCAGCCGGUCAAGAGGGAUCUGGGCAAGGUGCCCAAGUGGCUGAAGCUGCCAGGUACCGUGGCAGGGUGCAGCGGAGGGAGGGGCUGCCUGCCGACGGGGAGGCCCUCGGGUCAUCUUGGAGCAGCGGAGGGAGGGGCUGCCCGCCGACCCGGGGCCCUCGGGUCACGUUGGUGUUGGCAUUGCAGCCGGCAAGAGGUGAGAGCCACCAGCCUGGAGGUGCCCUGUCUGCCAGCUGCAGGACCCCUCCCCACCCUGAGCGGGAAUAAAGGUGUGAGCUUCUCUCGGGGUGCUUCUGUCAUCCUUUCUCCAGAAAGGGACCCCACCGCGCCCUGCCUGCAGCUCCCCACCCUGGGCUCAUCGAUUCUGCAGCCGGUCUGGACCCGCG
rnacentral:lncRNA from 1 species